UGAGGAAUAUUGGUCAAUGGGCGCGAGCCUGAACCAGCCAAGUAGCGUGAAGGAUGAAGGUCCUAUGGAUUGUAAACUUCUUUUAUAGCAGAAUAAAGUGACCCACGUGUGGGUUUUUGUAUGUAUGCUAUGAAUAAGGAUCGGCUAACUCCGUGCCAGCAGCCGCGGUAAUACGGAGGAUCCGAGCGUUAUCCGGAUUUAUUGGGUUUAAAGGGUGCGUAGGCGGAAAGAUAAGUCAGCCUGUGAAAGUUUGCGGCUCAACCGUAAAAUUGCAGUUGAUACUGUUUUUCUUGAGUGUACAUAAGGUAGGCGGAAUUCGUGGUGUAGCGGUGAAAUGCUUAGAUAUCACGAAGAACUCCGAUUUCGAAGGCAGCUUACCGGGGUACAACUGACGCUGAUGCACGAAAGUGUGGGUAUCAAACA
rnacentral:rRNA from 1 species